AUACAGAGGGUGCGAGCGUUAAUCGGAUUUACUGGGCGUAAAGCGUGCGUAGGUGGUUGGGUAAGUCAGAUGUGAAAGCCCCGGGCUUAACCUGGGAACUGCAUUUGAUACUGCCUAGCUAGAGUUUGGUAGAGGGAAGUGGAAUUCCAGGUGUAGCGGUGAAAUGCGUAGAUAUCUGGAGGAACACCAGUGGCGAAAGCGGCUUCCUGGACCGAAACUGACACUGAGGCACGAAAGCGUGGGGAGCAAACAGGAUUAGAUACCCGGGUAGUCC
rnacentral:rRNA from 1 species